GACGAACGCUGGCGGCGUGCUUAAACACAUGCAAGUCGAGCGGUAAGGCCCUUUCGGGGGUACACGAGCGGCGAACGGGUGAGUAACACGUGGGUGACCUGCCCUCAGCUCUGGGAUAAGCCUGGGAAACCGGGUCUAAUACCGGAUAUGACUCCAUGACGCAUGUUGUGGGGUGGAAAGCCUUGUGCGGCUGAGGAUGGGCCCGCGGCCUAUCAGCUUGUUGGUGGGGUGAUGGCCUACCAAGGCGACGACGGGUAGCCGGCCUGAGAGGCGACCGGCCACACUGGGACUGAGACACGGCCCAGACUCCUACGGGA
rnacentral:rRNA from 1 species